CUGGGGCCACCCUGUGGCCAUCUCAAGGCCCCAGUUCUCCUCCUUGGGGCUUUCUUGUCCCAGGCCACACAUCCCUCCUCAGGCAACUUUCCUGCUGUGCCUCCACCAGGGACCUUUGCUGUGGACAGCUUACCUGGAUGGAACAGGAAGACAGUACAGCACGCUGCCCACAGGUCUCUGAGUGGACGUCCAACAGGUUGAUUCUCAGUGCCAGAAUCUGAGCAACCCACUGCAACGGCUAAAACAGCGGUAUUAAGAUUCAUGGUGCUUUUCUGCCUGGGAGUCUCCGGUCUGGCUUCCUUCCUGAAUCCCUUCUUCAAUCAGCUGAAUGGGUGACUCUACCUUCACGGAGCUCCAAUUGUCGACCAAAAGGGGACCCAGUCCCGUUUACUCUGCACCGAGAACCGCAGCACCGGCCACAAGAGUCGCACUGGUGACCCGUGGGGCUCCUCCGCUGGGAAUCUCCUGUGACCUUUUGUUUCCAGCCACCAAACCCGAGAAAAACAACCACCUACUACUGCGAGCAGUGCAACCCAAAGCGGGUGUCUCAUUUCUCGGAAGGUUCUGGGCAGGACCCUGUCUCAUUCACCAUUGUACCCCUGCAUCGACCACAGUGCCUGGCACCCAACCAAGAGGCCCAUGGUGAUCACACUCAACUUCAGAACUCAAGUGCCUUGCAAACAGCACCCUUUCCUUAGGGCCCCAGGCUUUCACUUCAUAGGGUUUUUUCCAGAAGCUUCUUUACCUUCUGUUGCAGAUAAAAAAAUAUUAAUAUGGACUUUUCAGUUUGGACCUCAGAGGGAGACGAUGAUGAUGACAAUAAAAAUAAUAAUAGAUUGUGGUGCCUAAAAUGU
rnacentral:lncRNA from 13 species